UACGAAGGGGGCUAGCGUUGCUCGGAAUUACUGGGCGUAAAGCGCACGUAGGCGGCUUUCUAAGUCGGGGGUGAAAUCCUGGAGCUCAACUCCAGAACUGCCUUCGAUACUGGAAAGCUCGAGUCCGGGAGAGGUGAGUGGAACUGCGAGUGUAGAGGUGAAAUUCGUAGAUAUUCGCAAGAACACCUAUGGCGAAGGCAGCUCUCUGGGACGGUACUGACGCUGAGACGCGAAAGCGUGGGGAGCGAACAGG
rnacentral:rRNA from 1 species